AGGGACGCCACCACCACAGGAGAGACUGAGACCACCCAGCAGCUCCCUGGCCAGCCCAGAGCACUGCAAGGGAACAAGGAUGGCGGUUACAGAGGGAUGGACAAUGGGGACAGUGCCACAUCCUGUGCUCUGUGCUGGGUUCCGCUGUGGGGAGGUGCUUGUCCUAGGGCACAUCUCACAAGGCAAGCCACCCACAACUCGGGGGCCACACAUCUCGAAAGACAGAACAUCCGCCCGUCACGGAGCCUCACAAACUGGAGGGUUGGAAGGUAAAGUCACCAACCCACAAAAAAGAAAGGGAACCAGCCAGCACUAGCAGACUUGUAAGACCCCUGGAUGUAUCUCCCAAUUCAAGACUUCAAUAAAAGCACAGAACAGUUUGGAACCCAAGCCCGAGCUGGA